rnacentral:rRNA from 1 species
GUCCACACCGUAAACGUUGGGCGCUAGGUGUGGGACCUAUUCCAUGGGUUCCGUGCCGCAGCUAACGCAUUAAGCGCCCCGCCUGGGGAGUACGGCCGCAAGGCUAAAACUCAAAGGAAUUGACGGGGGCCCGCACAAGCGGCGGAGCAUGCGGAUUAAUUCGAUGCAACGCGAAGAACCUUACCUGGGUUUGACAUAUGCCGGAAAGCUCUAGAGAUAGAGCCCCUUUUGUCGGUAUACAGGUGGUGCAUGGCUGUCGU